rnacentral:piRNA from 1 species
UCCCUGGGGCUUUAGGAAUCAUUUCCUGA